GAGGCAAGCUUGAUUUGAAUUUAUGGAGUUUUGGAGAUUAUCUUUAUGAUUCCCGGAAAAAAUCUAAGUCUGGGGGAACAGCUAUUUACAACAAAGGAGGAAGAUUAUGCAACAACAUUUGGCAAAGGAGAAGUGACUGAAAAUCUGCGGUCAUCAACAAGUCCUUCUCUCUCUUGCGGUUUUGCAUAAUAUCUAGCAUCCUCCAUAUUCUUCAGGUAACCCUAAACACCUAAGCACCACCACUUAAAUAGCCUUUAAUGCCAAACGCCGC
rnacentral:lncRNA from 1 species